rnacentral:rRNA from 12 species
NNNNNNNNNNNNNNNNNNNNNNNNNNNGAUGAACGCUGGCGGUAUGCUUAACACAUGCAAGUCGAACGAAGUCUUUUAGACUUAGUGGCGGACGGGUGAGUAACGCGUGAGAAUCUGCCUCGAGGAUGGGGACAACAGUUGGAAACGACUGCUAAUACCCAAUAUGGCGAGAGCUGAAAUUAUUUAGCCUUGAGAGGAGCUCGCGUCCGAUUAGUUAGUUGGUGGUGUAAUGGACUACCAAGGCAGCGAUCGGUAGCUGGUCUGAGAGGAUGAGCAGCCACACUGGGACUGAGACACGGCCCAGACUCCUACGGGAGGCAGCAGUGGGGAAUUUUCCGCAAUGGGCGAAAGCUGACGGAGCAAUACCGCGUGAGGGAGGAAGGCUUUUGGGUUGUAAACCUCUUUUAUUAAGGAAGAAUCAAGUGACGGUACUUAAAGAAUCAGCAUCGGCUAACUCCGUGCCAGCAGCCGCGGUAAUACGGAGGAUGCAAGCGUUAUCCGGAAUCAUUGGGCGUAAAGCGUCCGCAGGUGGCUCAUCAAGUCUGCUGUUAAAGACAGAAGCUCAACUUCUGAGCAGCAGUGGAAACUGGUGAGCUAGAGUAUGGUAGGGGUUGAGGGAAUUCCCAGUGUAGCGGUGAAAUGCGUAGAUAUUGGGAAGAACACCAGUGGCGAAGGCGCUCAACUGGGCCAUAACUGACACUCAGGGACGAAAGCUAGGGUAGCGAAAGGGAUUAGAUACCCCUGUAGUCUUAGCUGUAAACGAUGAACACUAGGCGUUGCUUGUAUCGACCCGAGCAGUGCCGUAGCCAACGCGUUAAGUGUUCCGCCUGGGGAGUACGCACGCAAGUGUGAAACUCAAAGGAAUUGACGGGGGCCCGCACAAGCGGUGGAGUAUGUGGUUUAAUUCGAUGCAACGCGAAGAACCUUACCAGGACUUGACAUCUCGAGAACUGAACCUAAUAGUUCAGGUGCCUUAGGGAACUCGAAGACAGGUGGUGCAUGGCUGUCGUCAGCUCGUGUCGUGAGAUGUUGGGUUAAGUCCCGCAACGAGCGCAACCCUCGUUCUUAGUUGCCAGCAUUAAGUUGGGCACUUUAGGAAGACUGCCGGUGACAAACCGGAGGAAGGUGGGGAUGACGUCAAGUCAGCAUGCCCCUUACGUUCUGGGCUACACACGUACUACAAUGGUUGGGACAAAGGGCAGCAAGCUCGCGAGAGUAAGCGAAUCUCAUCAAACCCAGCCUCAGUUCAGAUUGCAGGCUGCAACUCGCCUGCAUGAAGGAGGAAUCGCUAGUAAUCGCAGGUCAGCAUACUGCGGUGAAUUCGUUCCCGGGCCUUGUACACACCGCCCGUCACACCAUGGAAGUUGGCCACGCCCGAAGUCGUUACCCUAACCAAUUUAUUGAGGGGGAUGCGAAGGCAGGGCUGGUGACUAGGGUGAAGUCGUAACAAGGUAGCCGUACCGGAAGGUGUGGCUGGAUCACCUCCUUN